UGCAAGAACUGUACAUAUAUAUUGUGUUGCUGAUGCAGAUGACAUCAAAGCAGUGUUCUCUUAGUCUUAUUAUUUAAAUUGAGUAAAAUGUGUUUUUUCUUUAACAAAAAUAUGAAAAUAAACCUGAAAGUAACUCUAAGCCAAUAAGAUGAAUUUCAAUGUAAUUUUGUUAUAAAUACUAUGAAUUUUAUGCAUUAUAUUAUGGAUUAGGAUGAAUUAAAGCUUAUGUGAAGUUGGCUAGAAACCACGGAAUUAUCACGCUGAAAAGGACUUGGUGAUCAUUUCAUACCUAACCAUCUCCAAAUUUUAUGGAAGGAGGAAAAACAUGACUUUUCCAAGGCCUAAGGGUCAUGCGGCUUGGUGAGCUACAGAUACUCUUUUAUCACUUCACUAAGCAUGGAAGAGAUUUUAGCUCCAUUUUUACAGCCUUAUGAGGGUAAAUCUUCCCACAUGUUUCUAACUGGGUAGAAUUAAAUUGUGCCUCCAUGGGUCUUUUCCAAUUUAUGCCUUUAUGCUUUCUGUAUUUUAGUCUAAUCCACCCUUGCUUUAGCAGUCAUUGACCUUCAGGUACUACAAGUAAAUAAGAAGACUCUAAACAAAAGAAAUCGCUAAGCUUUCCUUAUCUCGCACUGACACAGCAGUGUCAACAAUUCAAGCCUCUCUGAAAAAUAAUGAGUGAGAGAGCCCAUCAUUCCAAUUACCAAGGAAACAGGCAAUGGAGCUGAUUUAUAAACAGCAUUUGGACAUGGAUUGUCUGGCAUACAUGAAAAUUAGAACAAAAUUAAUGCCUUGUAAUCUGGAUAUAGAAAUUCAUUUAGAAUUUGAAUUUAAUGACUAAGAGAAACAAAGAUUUUGAUUAGCCAAGCUAUUGAAACCCAAGGGGAAAGCUUCGGUCACAACCGCCUAAGGUCAAUCUUCUCUUUAAGAAACUGGUUAAUUUAAAACAAGUUCUGGAGUCUGCUUGCAUUUCACAUCCUUUCCAAAUUAAAAUUUAAUUCCAGGCCCUAGUAAGUUUCACAGGUAGAAGAAUAUAAAUUUACCACCCAUAAUGGGAGGAUACUGAACUAUUCUCAAGAAGCAACUCAAACGCACAGACCAUUAUGUACUUUUAAUGGAAACUGUAUUGUGUGACACCAACAUGAUAAAAGAUCAUUCCUUGAAGUUGUAUGGGCCUGAUUUAGAGAAGCCUCUAUAUUGCUGGAGUGAAAUCAAAGGUGCCUAUUAAUUCUCUCUCUCCUUCUAAAGGGGCUGCUUACUAAAAGCGGAGCCAUUCCUGCUGAUCAAGUAUCCAUGUGGCGUUUCUGAGUUGAGGUUUAAAGGACAGCAACUACUGUGAGGUUCUUGCUACAGAUGGAUUUGCGAAUCUGAAAGCUGCUUUAGAACAGUGGAGUCAUUUUGAAUUCUACAACAACGUAAUGACUUCACAAGGUCCAAGAUGAGGAAAGGCAUAUCUUCCUCUAUGGUACUGUUUUCUUCUUGUUCAUCCACUGAGGACUCCUGGAGUCACAGAGAUACCCAAAUUUGCACUGUGCUGCAGCUCCAGGCUUGGUCUCCAGGUACUGUAUUAUCAGAAAUAAAACUGUUUCAUUUA